rnacentral:rRNA from 1 species
UACAGAGGGUGCGAGCGUUGUUCGGAAUUAUUGGGCGUAAAGGGCGCGUAGGCGGUGCGGCAAGUCACCUGUGAAACCUCUGGGCUUAACCCAGAGCCUGCAGGCGAAACUGCCGUGCUGGAGUGUGGGAGAGGUGCGUGGAAUUCCCGGUGUAGCGGUGAAAUGCAUUGAGAUCGGAAAGAACACCAACGGCGAAAGCACUCUGCUGGGCCGACACUGACACUGAGAGACGAAAGCUAGGGGAGCAAAUGGG